rnacentral:rRNA from 1 species
CCUACGGGGGGCAGCAGUGAGGAAUAUUGGUCAAUGGCCGGAAGGCUGAACCAGCCAAGUCGCGGGAAGGAAGAAGGAGCUAUGGAUUGUAAACUUCGGUUAUAGGGGAAUAAAGGUAGCCACGUGGGGAUAUUUGCAUGUACCCUAUGAAUAAGCAUCGGCUAACUCCGUGCCAGCAGCCGCGGUAAUACGGAGGAUGCGAGCGUUAUCCGGAUUUAUUGGGUUUCAAGGGUGCGUAGGUUGUUUUUUAAGUCAGCGGUGAAAGUUUGUGGCUCAACCCUCAAAUUGCCGUUGCACCUGGCGUUCUUGAGUUGGCUAGACCUCUGCGGACUUCGUGGUGUAGCGGU